CAGUAGCCACGGGAAUACAGAGGGUGCGAGCGUUAAUCGGAUUUACUGGGCGUAAAGCGUGCGUAGGCGGCUUUUUAAGUCGGAUGUGAAAUCCCUGAGCUUAACUUAGGAAUUGCAUUCGAUACUGGGAAGCUAGAGUAUGGGAGAGGAUGGUAGAAUUCCAGGUGUAGCGGUGAAAUGCGUAGAGAUCUGGAGGAAUACCGAUGGCGAAGGCAGCCAUCUGGCCUAAUACUGACGCUGAGGUACGAAAGCAUGGGGAGCAAACAGGAUUAGAGACCCCCGUAGUCCCUGUCUCUUAUAA
rnacentral:rRNA from 1 species